CUCUAUUUUUUAAGGGAGGAAGCC
rnacentral:snRNA from 1 species